AAUUGGUUUCUUACUUUAUAUAUUUAUAUUUAUUUUAGAAGUAUCUAUUUUUUUAGUAUACUAAAGAAAAAUUUUUGUUUGUUAUAGUAAAUUAGUACUGUGAAGGAUUGAUGAAAUAAUUUAAAAUUUAAUUUAUUUAAAGUAUGUUUAAUUUGCAGUACCUUUUGUAUCAGGGUUAAUUAAAUAAAAAAAUUUAUUUUUCUAUCUCGAUUUUAAAAGAGCUAACUGUUUAUUUUAGUUAAUGUGCAUAAUUAUUAAAAAUAACUUUUAGAGGAGAAAUUUUAUACGCUUUUAAGGGUAUCUAGUUUUUUAAGAAUUAAAUUUAAUUUAUUUUCUUUAAUUAACUUUUAUAUUAUUUUAUUUAGUUAUUUAUUGAAUUAAAAUUUAUAGGGGAUAAGCUCUAUAUAUUUCUAUAAACUGAUUAUUUAAUUGACUAAUGUAGGCUUAUAAAUAGCCAUCAUUAAUAAACAUGUUAUAAUUUAUUUUUAAUUUWAACGUAAUUUUUUUAGUUUUAGAAUCUUAUUAAAAUACCAGAAUUAAUAGUUAAUUUUGGGUAAUAAUGAUUAAAUUAGUAUAAAAUUUGUCUAUAUAUUUAUUAUAUUGAUGAUAAAAUAAGUAACUCGGCAAAUAUGAUUCUCGCCUGUUUAACAAAAACAUGUCCUUUUGAAUUUAAUAUAAGGUCUGACCUGCCCAGUGAUUGUAUUUAACGGCCGCGGUAUAUUGACCGUGCAAAGGUAGCAUAAUCAUUAGUCUUUUAAUAGAGGGCUGGAAUGAAAGGMUUAACGAGGAAUCGACUGUCUCAUUUUAUUUGUAUUAAAAUUUAAUUUUUUGGUCAAAAAGUUAAAAUUUUAUUGGAAGACGAGAAGACCCUAUAGAUCUUUAUAUGUAAUUUCUGAUUUAUUAUUAAAAAAAAAUUUUUAUUAAUNANAAAUUUUGGUGGGGUGACAAAAAUAUAUAAUUAACUUUUUUAUAGAUUAAACAUUGAUUUAUGAUUAUUGGAUCCAUUAUUAGUGAUUGUUAGAAUAAGUUACCUUAGGGAUAACAGCGUAAUCCUUCUCCAGAGUUCAUAUUUACAGAAGGGCUUGCGACCUCGAUGUUGGAUUAAGAUAAUAAUUAGGUGUAGCCGCUUAAUAUAUAGGUCUGUUCG
rnacentral:rRNA from 1 species